rnacentral:rRNA from 1 species
UUUAGAACAUGAAGUGGUUGAUGCCAUGCUUCCAAGAAAAGCUUCUAAGCUUCAGGUAACCAGGAACCGUACCCCAAACCGACACAGGUGGUUGGGUAGAGAAUACCAAGGCGCUUGAGAGAACUCGGGUGAAGGAACUAGGCAAAAUGGCACCGUAACUUCGGGAGAAGGUGCGCCGGUGGAGGUGAAGCAUUUACUGCGUAAGCCCCUGCCGGUCGAAGAUACCAGGCCGCUGCGACUGUUUAUUAAAAACACAGCACUCUGCAAACACGAAAGUGGACGUAUAGGGUGUGACGCCUGCCCGGUGCCGGAAGGUUAAUUGAUGGGGUUAGCGCAAGCGAAGCUCUUGAUCGAAGCCCCGGUAAACGGCGGCCGUAACUAUAACGGUCCUAAGGUAGCGAAAUUCCUUGUCGGGUAAGUUCCGACCUGCACGAAUGGCGUAACGAUGGCGGCGCUGUCUCCACCCGAGACUCAGUGAAAUUGAAAUCGCUGUGAAGAUGCAGUGUAUCCGCGGCUAGACGGAAAGACCCCGUGAACCUUUACUAUAGCUUUGCACUGGACUUUGAAUUUGCUUGUGUAGGAUAGGUGGGAGGCUUUGAAGCGUGGACGCCAGUCUGCGUGGAGCCAACCUUGAAAUACCACCCUGGCAACUUUGAGGUUCUAACUCAGGUCCGUUAUCCGGAUCGAGGACAGUGUAUGGUGGGUAGUUUGACUGGGGCGGUCUCCUCCUAAAGAGUAACGGAGGAGUACGAAGGUGCGCUCAGACCGGUCGGAAAUCGGUCGUAGAGUAUAAAGGCAAAAGCGCGCUUGACUGCGAGACAGACACGUCGAGCAGGUACGAAAGUAGGUCUUAGUGAUCCGGUGGUUCUGUAUGGAAGGGCCAUCGCUCAACGGAUAAAAGGUACUCCGGGGAUAACAGGCUGAUACCGCCCAAGAGUUCAUAUCGACGGCGGUGUUUGGCACCUCGAUGUCGGCUCAUCACAUCCUGGGGCUGAAGCCGGUCCCAAGGGUAUGGCUGUUCGCCAUUUAAAGUGGUACGCGAGCUGGGUUUAGAACGUCGUGAGACAGUUCGGUCCCUAUCUGCCGUGGACGUUUGAGAUUUGAGAGGGGCUGCUCCUAGUACGAGAGGACCGGAGUGGACGAACCUCUGGUGUUCCGGUUGUCACGCCAGUGGCAUUGCCGGGUAGCUAUGUUCGGAAAAGAUAACCGCUGAAAGCAUCUAAGCGGGAAACUUGCCUCAAGAUGAGAUCUCACUGGAACCUUGAGUUCCCUAAAGGGCCGUCGAAGACUACGACGUUGAUAGGUUGGGUGUGUAAGCGCUGUGAGGCGUUGAGCUAACCAAUACUAAUUGCCCGUGAGGCUUGACCAUAUAACACCCAAGCAAUU